UGUUCUAUUCUGAGUAGGAGGAAAAGAACCAUAACGAGAAUAAACAAGAGGAACCCAAUAUUGGAGAAGAGAAGAAAGAGGAAGCUGAGCUGGCGCAUUUGAAACCAAGGAAAUAAGAGGAGCCAAACCUCGAACUUUACAGUUGCAACCCUUCUCAUCAGACUCAAGUUGUUUGGGUUCGACAAGGACGGAGACCAGUGGAAUGAAUCAGAUGUCAAUGUGGUAAUACAAUGAUGAGCUGCGUUUUUGUGCAAAUGAACAAUGACUCAUGUUCAUCAGCAUGCUUUUAUCAAGUAUCUUUUUUCUGGUUUUGGCUAAGAUUCAGCUCUAAUGGAUUUGUUGUGUCCCGUGUAAAGAUAUCAUUACUUGACUUGAACUAAGUGCCUGAGCUACAAGAUAUGCAAGGAGUUGCAGCCGAAUUAGAGGAUAAAGUGAGAUCUCAAACUGAUUUGUUGGGUGCUAAAGACCAAGGUGGGUAUUGUGUGAUUCUGUGUCUUUAAACUUGAAAUAUAUGUUUGAAAAAUGAGAAUUUACAACGGAUGUUUUAGUUGUACAACUGCUCAUUUAGAUUUUGAGCACAUGUUUGAAAUUAUGGUACAAUUAAAUUUCAUCUUUUUAUCAGUUGUCAGAACUUAUUUCAAUUUGUUUGCAUUGUUGGAAUUAGAAGCUAUUUUGUAUGUAGGGUGUAUGAUUGAUUUAUCCGUGUCAGGUCGGUUUUAGGAUGUCAUGGUCUCAUCCUUUGGUUUUGAAAAAUUGCCAAUGUUUUGAUUCAUGGUGCUUGCUGCAUGUGGUACCUUGAGUCAAUUCAAGGCGUGAUACUCAAAAUGAGUUGAAUUAGCUGUAGAAAUUUAUAUAUCCUUUAAAAGUUUGAUUUUAUUAUAUCAUAGUAAUGUAGUAUUCUAUUGUCAGAGAAGUAAAAUUUGUUUGUUGUAUUUUUUAACCUUUGUUCUUCCGUCAAAUAUGGUCAUUUGACGCGCAUCGCCACUAUCAUUG